rnacentral:lncRNA from 1 species
GAAAUAAUAAUUACUGUUUUACGUCUUAUUUUGUACUUCUUAUAAAGGGGGAUGCUGAUUGUGUAAGUCAAAAUAAAAGCACGUGUUCGACUUGUUAAACUUAGGUAAAUAAUUUGACAAAUGAAUCGUCUAUCUUCAGAUAAUAUUCUCCUGUCUGGUUUGUUGAUCUACCUGUACAAGCUCAGGUACAAGUGAUUAGCGAUCUUAAUCCGGAUAUCCUUCAGGCGUUAGAACUGUAUUGGAUUAUA